GAGUUUCCUGAAUGCCACGAGACUGCGGUGUGCGAUUCGGGCGUGCUCACUGCGGUGGGAGGUGAGCCGGCUGUGCGCCUGGAGACCGCCCAUCGCUUUCCUCUUGGCGCUGCGAAUAGUAACCCACAGUGACACCCCAGUUGGCUGUCGUGGUGGGACAAACGGACGAAAUUCUCGAAAGCCGGGACGCUUGAUUGCCGUCUGUGUGAAGUUUGUGUAAUCUAUGUGCAGCCUUACUCCACUGUGGAGUAUGAACCUUAUUACGUUCCCUCCCCGCUCCCCCAGUUGAAGGAGUGUGCUCUAAUAUUACCAUGAGAAUGUGGCUGCCAUCUGAAAUCUACCUGUGGAGCCAGGGAGAGAUUCUGGGGAUGACUCCUGACAGACCUUGAGUAGACUAUAGCUGUUCUGCCUAUACUGUCUCUGACUUCAAGAUGUCCAUAUAUGCUCCUGCUUUCUUCAGUCAUCUGUAAAGUGCUUGAGCUCCUAGUGAGCCCAGGGAAUAGUGCCCCUCCAUGGGGCUGAAGUUCAAAACUGAUGAGCAGAGGUACUCACCCCAUCAUAAACAUCAUCCAGCUCUUUAGGCUCCAGGAUGAAGUCCGGGAAGCCGAUCAUAUCAUAGAUGGCAUCUGCCUGAAGAGA